rnacentral:ribozyme from 1 species
ACAUAUUGUAUAUUUGUUGUGUUCUUCUUCCCUUUUUUUCUGUUUCUUCUUCAAUUUUUUUACUGCUGACGGCAACAAGGGUGAAAGAAAGAGGAGGAGGAGAAAGGGUCACAGCCUAAUUCUCUGAGUGAAACUCCUAAAGCGAUAAAAUCUAGAAAGCUGCCGUGUUUUUUUUUUGUAAUACUUGAUAUUAAAA